UACGUAGGGGGCAAGCGUUGUCCGGAUUUAUUGGGCGUAAAGAGCGUGUAGGCGGCCAGGUAGGUGGGUUGUGAAAACUGGAGGCUCAACCUUCAGACGUCGACCCAAAGCCCCUGGCUAGAGUCCGGAAGAGGAGAGUGGAAUUCCUGGUGUAGCGGUGAAAUGCGCAGAUAUCAGGAAGAACACCCGUGGCGAAGGCGGCUCUCUGGGACGGUACUGACGCUGAGACGCGAAAGCGUGGGGAGCGAACAGG
rnacentral:rRNA from 1 species